rnacentral:rRNA from 1 species
GAUGAACGCUGACAGAAUGCUUAACACAUGCAAGUCGAUGGGGAAGCGGUGCUUGCACCAUGGGAACCAUGGAGGACGGGUGAGUAACACGUAAGGAACUUACCUGCGGGACCGGGAUAACAGCAGGAAACUGCUGACAAGACCGGAUAAGGUCAUUAAGCUGCAUAGCUUAGCGAUGAAAGGAGACGCCUGCGGAGAGCCUUGCGUCAUAUUAGCUAGUUGGAGGGGUAACGGCCCACCAAGGCGAAGAUAGGUAGCCGGCCUGAGAGGGUGGACGGCCACAAGGGGACUGAGAUACGGCCCUUACUCCUACGGGAGGCAGCAGUGGUGAAUAUUGGACAAUGGUGGCAACCCUGAUCCAGCAAUUCUGUGUGCACGAAGACGGUUUUCGGAUUGUAAAGUGCUUUCAGCAGGGAAGAAGGAAGUGACGGUACCUGCAGAAGAAGCGACGGCUAAAUACGUG